CUUUUUCUCAAAAUUUUUUUAAAAUUUCAAAAUACAUUGAGGAAUGCUACUUUUGCACCAAAAAAAUUGCUAAAGUAUAAUCGCAGCCAAAAUGCUGGUCAAAAGAAAAGUAAAGAAAAAAAUAGAGAGAAUAUUUUUUAUUUAAAAUUGAAAUGAGUGGGGCUGGAUUGACAUCAGAUUUUGGGGAGCAAGCCUGAUGAAAUAAUAUGCAAAACACAUCUAAAUCUUCUUGAUGUGUGGAAAGACUUUUGACUCGACAGUAUUUGAAUUUCCUGUGCUUGACCAGCAACCAAAGAAAGCAAGUGGCUCUGAGGGGGACCUUUUUUUUAAGUCCCAUUUGUUGAUGUGGGUUUGUAGAUGCUUGUUCACACAUGUAACCUUUUAGAAAGGUCACGAGCAAAUUAACAAAAAAAUGACCUGAUAAUUAACAAGAAACGGCUUAAAAAGUUACAAGAAAACUGAACUUGGUUCAAGACCCAUGAAUUGCAGUUUGACUUUAAAAUUUUUUUCAGUGAUUGCGUGUGUCUGAGUUCAAUUCAA